ACUCAAAGGAAUUGACGGGGGCCCGCACAAGCGGCGGAGCAUGCGGCUUAAUUCGAUGCGACGCGAAGAACCUUACCAGGGCUUGACAUGCACGGUGCCGCCGUAGAGAUACGGCUUCCUUUGGGGUUGUGCACAGGUGGUGCAUGGUUGUCGUCAGCUCGUGUCGUGAGAUGUUGGGUUAAGUCCCGCAACGAGCGCAACCCUCGUCCUGUAUUGCCAGCAACAUCCUUCGGGGUGGUUGGGGACUUGCGGGAGACUGCCGGGGUCAACUCGGAGGAAGGUGGGGACGACGUCAAAUCAUCAUGCCCCUUAUGUCCUGGGCUGCACGCAUGCUACAAUGGCCGGUACAGAGGGCUGCGAUGCCGUGAGGCGGAGCGAAUCCCGGAAAGCCGGUCUCAGUUCGGAUCGGGGUCUGCAACUCGACCCCGUGAAGUCGGAGUCGCUAGUAAUCGCAGAUCAGCAACGCUGCGGUGAAUACGUUCCCGGGCCUUGUACACACCGCCCGU
rnacentral:rRNA from 1 species